rnacentral:rRNA from 1 species
AUUGAACGCUGGCGGCAGGCCUAACACAUGCAAGUCGAGCGGAUGAAGGGAGCUUGCUCCUGGAUUCAGCGGCGGACGGGCGAGUAAUGCCUAGGAAUCUGCCUGGUAGUGGGGGAUAACGUCCGGAAAGGGGACCUAAUACCGCAUAGGUCCAGAGGGAGAAAGGGGGGGAUCUUCGGACCUCACGCUACCAGAUGAGCCUAGGUCGGAUUAGCUAGUUGGUGGGGUAAAGGCCUACCAAGGCGACGAUCCGUAACUGGUCUGAGAGGAUGAUCAGCCACACUGGAACUGAGACACGGUCCAGACUCCUACGGGAGGCAGCAGUGGGGAAUAUUGGACAAUGGGCGAAAGCCUGAUCCAGCCAUGCCGCGUGUGUGAAGAAGGUCUUCGGAUUGUAAAGCACUUUAAGUUGGGAGGAAGGGCAGUAAGUUAAUACCUUGCUGUUUUGACGUUACCAACAGAAUAAGCACCGGCUAACUUCGUG